AGAAUUUUUAUUUGGAAAAAAUAUCAUCUGUAAUAUGGGCUGUGAGGAAAAUGAAGGGGACAGGGUGCAGUGAUAGAUAAUUAAGGGGUGAUCUAUUUAGAUGGGGGGGAGGGACAAGAAAGUCUUUUCUGGGGCAGCAACAUUUAAGAUUCCUGAAGGCUCGGGGUGCCAGGGUGGCUCAAUUGGUUGAGCAUCUGACUCUUGAUUUCGGCUCAGGUCACGAUCUCACCGACUCUUGGUUUCGGCUCAGGUCACGAUCUCACCGACUCUUGAUUUCGGCUCAGGCCACGAUCUCACCAUCAUGAGAUUGAGCCCUGUGUCGGGCUCUGCACUGACAGCGUGGAGGCUGCUUGGGAUUCUCUCUCUCCCUCUCUCUCUGUCCCUCCCCUGCACUCUCUCUCAAAAUAAAUAAAUAAACUUAAAAAAAAAAAAA